UGCUGUAUGAGUUCUAAGCCAAGAAGGUCAGUAGAGCAUGAGACUCUUGAUCUCGGGGCCGUGGGUUCGAGCCCAGCUUUGGGCAA